CUGAUGCAACAUCAACCAAUGUUGCAAUCACCCUCAGGAGGCACUUGAAGACCAGUGUCCAAUAUGCACAGGAACAUUUCCAGUGUCAGAAGUAGAACUGCCAUGCCAGCUUUUGUGGAGAAAG